CAGUGCUUCUGCAGUGCAAACA
rnacentral:miRNA from 1 species